AGCAGCCGCGGUAAUUCCAGCUCCAAUAGCGUAUAUUAAAGUUGUUGCAGUUAAAAGCUCGUAGUUGAAUUUCGGAGUUCUACCGUCGGUCGGGCUACCAAGUCUGUACUGGUGUGUAGAAUCCCUACCUUCUGGGGAACUAUCAUGUUAUUAAUUUAGCGUGGUGGGAAACCAGGACUUUUACCUUGAAAAAUUAGAGUGUUCAAAGCAGGCUUAUGUCUGAAUACAUUAGCAUGGAAUAAUAGAAUAGGACGGUGGUCCUGUUUUGUUGGUUUCUGAAUCACCGUAAUGAUUAAUAGGGAUAGUUGGGGGCAUUAG
rnacentral:misc_RNA from 1 species